CCAACAUGUUCAGCAAGACAAGUGCCACCUGUCAAGGACCCUUUCACUUGUAUGCAUCUAUGCGGCACCAAAACAGGAGCUGGAGCCACUCUGUGAGUAUCCCCUCCCGCCUGCCGGGAGGCUGCGAUGGCCCCGUAAACACACAACCUCUAAAUAUUUGCCCCCGGCAAACACAGUUGGGGUGGAUGACCUGAAUCGCCCAGAUGACGACUCUGGGGCCGGCCGUCACAGGGCUGAGCAGAGUUGUCUUGUGCCAGAAACUUCCUCGGUGUGGUCAGCGGUGCCCACGGCGCACAAGGCAGCCGUGGAGACCCAGGGUCGGUUUGCGCAAAUGCCUUGGCUCCAGGUGUGGGAUAGUCACAGUUUGUUUCUUGUCACCUUCUGGGAAGUCACUGUGGCCUUUUCUGUUUUUUUUUUUUUUUUUUUUCUUUUACCAGAGCCAUGCUUUCCAUUGAAUCCAGAUUCCUGAAUAGAGGGCCAUUCUGUGGUCAGCCCCAGGAGGGCAGAGCCCAUCCCAUCAGGGGUGGGGUGGAGGAGGGUGUCCAGGUCUUGCGGGUGAGAGACGGACUGGGGACGAUGGCGGCCAGCAUUGCUCUCGGACCUUCACCUGUCCAGGGAAGGGCUUGGCUGAGCUGGCGCAGCCCCGUCUUCUCUGGUUGCCGGAGUCCCCUGGAGUCGAGGCAGGCCCUGCCCGUGUCUCUGGGUGCCUCUUGAGCACACCUGAAGGCUCUUCUGAGUCUCCCUCCUCUCCCGGUGCCCUGUGACAGCCUGGGGGACAUGAGCGGGUGGCAG
rnacentral:lncRNA from 1 species